GUUUAGCUCAGUCGGUUAGAGCAUCGUGCUAAUAACGCGAGGGUCGCAGGUUCGAGCCCUGCAUCG
rnacentral:tRNA from 2 species